rnacentral:rRNA from 1 species
GAUACGAAUCGGUCGAGGGCUUAACCUACUUCUUAUCUUCUUCUUAUGCAACAUGUUCUUCCUUCACAUUUUCAAGGUGUGAAACCUUCACACUAAUUCAAUACCUGUCUGGUGAUGAUGGCGGAGGGGACCCACUCGUUCCCAUCCCGAACACGACCGUUAAGCCCUCCAGCGCCGAUGGUACUUGGGGUGCAGACCCUUGGGAGAGUAGGACGUUGCCAGGC